GACGUAGGUGGCGAACGUUAUCCGGAUUUAUUGGGCGUAAAGAGCUCGUAGGCGGCUUGUCACGUCGGAUGUGAAAGCCCGAGGCUUAACCUCGGGUCUGCGUUCGAUACGGGCUAGCUAGAGUGUGGUAGGGGAGAUCGGAAUUCCUGGUGUAGCGGUGAAAUGCGCAGAUAUCAGGAGGAACACCGGUGGCGAAGGCGGAUCUCUGGGCCAUUACUGACGCUGAGGAGCGAAAGCGUGGGGAGCGAACAGG
rnacentral:rRNA from 1 species